rnacentral:rRNA from 1 species
GACGAACGCUGGCGGCGUGCCUAACACAUGCAAGUCGAGCGAAGUGAGUACUACGGUACGAACUUAGCGGAGGACGGGUGAGUAACGCGUGGACAAUCUACCCUGUAGACUGGGAUAACACCUCGAAAGGGGUGCUAAUACCGGAUAAUGUCGAGAAGCGGCAUCGCUUUUCGAAGAAAGGAGAGAAUCCGCUAUAGGAGGAGUCCGCGUCCCAUUAGCUAGUUGGUGAGGGUAACGGCCCAACAAGGCGACGAUGGGUAGCCGGCCUGAGAGGGUGAACGGCCACACUGGAACUGAGACACGGGCCAGACUCCUACGGGAGGCAGCAGUGGGAAAUAGUGUGCGAUGGGGGAAACCCUGACACAGCAACGCCGCGUGAGCGAAGAAGGCCUUCGGGUUGUAAAGCUCAAUAGUAUGGGAAGAUAAUGACGGUACCAUACGAAAGCCCCGGCUAACUACGUGCCAGCCGCCGCUGUAAGAC